AAUAAGUAAGGAAUAAGUAGUAAAAAACUUAAAGAGGGGUAACACAAAGUUACACCUAUUAUGCAUAACACAUAAUAAAGAAAAGGGAAGAGGGAUUGAAUCCCUAAAUUAGCUACUCCCUUUUCUUCCUCCAGCAGCGUCAACUAAACAAGGCUAGGGGAGGAGAACAUCGACGACUAUUAAUGGUGACGACGGUGGUGCCAUUCAUGACCCCAACAGCGAUAGAGAUGUGUGUCCUCUUCUGGACGCGACUUGGCUGAGGGGGUAGCACCUUUGGUGACCCCGACAACAAGGGUGGAGGAGCCAUGGCUGUCGGUUGGCUCCGGUCAGGCUUCCCGUCCAGCGCUCUUCUGGACGAAGGUGGCGAACGUCAGGGACGUCCAGACCAUGGACGUGGAGGUGCAGCGGUGAGUACUCCUAUGUUGGUCGUGCCGGAAGAGGUAAACGACAUUAUCGGUUGUCGGAGCAUGUUCUCUGGUUUUCAAAAGACUCCCUAGGAUUAUUGUGGCUUUAUUUUUUUACAUUAUCAUGGACAUAUGGAGAUGAUUGUGAUUCUGUUUUUUUAGAAGUUAAAAUGAUGUUCAUUGAUUCAAUUUAUUUGUUAUUUUUAUUUGUUCAUUAGAGAGAAAAUUAUUGUUCAUGAGUUCCAGUGUUAUAAGAUGUAAAUCAACAGCAUAAUAGUAUACAAAUGUGUUUCUGUUAACGACAUUUAGUGACUAUCAUAUGGAGGUAUAGGUAUUAUGAAUCUCAUUGAUAUAUAAAGUAUGAUGUUGUGUGAGAAUCGUUAUGAAUGCAAUAAAUCCGAAACAAAUUACCAUUGUGUAUAGACAUUGAGGAGCCUUUACUGUUUUGGAUGUGAGUAAUUAUGUUAAAAGUAAAAGUAUAUACAUUGAUGUUUUGAAUGCUUAAAUGUGAAGAAAAUAUAGAGAUAUGGAUGAUUGUUGCGAAACUAAAGAUGUGUAGAUAUUUGAAUGCUUAAACAUAAAAAAUAUAGAUAUGAAUAGAUAGAAGGACAGUAGGAC
rnacentral:lncRNA from 1 species